GGCGGAGAAGGCGGGUCAGGUCUCUCAGGGCCCGCGGUGUUUGAAGCGGGCCGUAUGUGUGGUACGCAAUGGAAUACACUAUGUGGACUUGUGCUAAAAGUGCAGCUGAUGAAGACCUGCUUGUAAAUUGGCAGUCAUUACGGAAUCAGCUGAGGAGAACUGAAAAAUAUCUACAAACAGUAGAAGAAGAGCUUUCCAUGACUAGUACAAGUGAACGUUAUGGCCAGUGCUUUGAUGAAGGGGUCGACUUCACUCUGGAGGACCUUGUUCAGCCUAAUUGCAACCACCAAGGCUUUUCCAACCGUAAGAAGAAUGCUGGUAAAACAUCUUGCCAGGAUUUUCAAAGAAAACCUGAAUCUUACUCAAUAUCUACAAAUUCUGAUAAAACCGUGGAAGAAAAUGAACGUCUUAAGAAGAAGCUGGAUGCCCUUCAUGAGCAAAAUGCAUCUUUGGUUUCUCAGAACCACUGCCUAAAGAACAGAGUGGAAACAAUGAAUUUUGAAUUGCUGCAGUCAAAAGCAAGAAUUUCUUAUCUUGAAUCAACUUUAUGCACACAUUUAGUCAGCGUUCCGAAGUUGAAAGAACAGAUUGUAAGCCUGGAAGCAGAAGUUUCAGCUCAAGAUAAAAUUCUGAGAGAUACAGAAGAUAAACUGGAUCAAAGCCAGAAAGCAAGAAUGGAAAGAGAAGACAUGUUGCAAAGAUAUAAAAAAGACUACAAAAAUCUGAAAAUGGAGUUACUUGAACGAAGCAAACAAGGAAAAAGAGCCGAACAGCAAAGAAAUGAAGCUCUGUUGAAUGCAGAGGAGAUGACAAGAGCUUUGAAAAGGUGUAAACAGAAAAUGACUGAAAAAUUAGAAAAGGUUAGAGCUGAAGAAGUUGUCUUGGGAAAACGUUUAAUUAAUUGUGAAAAAGAAAAAGAGAAGUUGAAUGAAAAGUGUGUCAGCUACAGAAAGGAUCUAGACAUCCUAGAAGAGCAAUUAAGGCAAUUAAAGGAAGAGAAUCGUAGCACAAAAGAAGAAAUUAAGACUCUAGAGGCAAAGAAUGAUGAAAUGGUGUCAAUGCUGACUCAAUCUGAUCAGAAGAUCAUUGAGCUUGAGAAUGAACUUAGUGAAAAAGAAAUAAUACUUAAAGAGAAGAAUGCUCUAGUAAGUGAAAACGCAGAGCUGAGAGCACUUACUGCACAGCAACAAAGCCGCUUAAAAUUAUGCCAUCAAGAAAUUGAGAAUUCAAGGGAAGAGCUCAAGAUACUAGAAACCAUUAUUUCCCAGUUGUCUCUAACUUCAUCUGAAGAGUUUAAAUGGCACCACUUGAAACAUCAGAUCUCCAAUUCCUCAACAAAGGAAGCUCUCUCUGAAUCUUGUGAAUCAAAUAAACCUUUGAUUGCAGACCUAAGCAUUGAACUGGCAAUGAAAGAAGCAGAAAUUCAAAAGCCUUUUGCAAACAUUACUGUCCGUAAUGGAGCUGGGCAUCUUUCUAAUGAUAAUGAAGGCCAAGAAAAUAGCACGUUAUGUGGCCUGGAAAUGGAGCCUGUCAAAUUGAUCAGAAGUCAAGGAGAGAGGAGAAAACAUCAACAGUUGGCACUUAUCAGCAAACAAUUUGAAAAGGAGAAGCAAAGACUCCGGAAAGAGAUAGAAGUGUUACGCACUAAACUGACAAAAGCAGAUGAUGAGAAUUCUUCUUUGAAGACCAGCAUGGCUCAGAGAGCCAGUCAGUUUCAGGUCAUACAGGAAGAUCUGUUGAAGAAGGCUUCAAAAACUAGUAGCUUAGAGAGAGAAAUAACAAAGAAAUCUUCUCAACUUUCUGCACUUGAGAAACAGUUGGAAGAAAAGACUAUUGCUUAUUCAUCUGCUGCAGCAAGAAAUACAGAGUUGGAACAGGAACUCAUGGGAAAAAUCAGACGCAUUCAUGAGUUGGAAACAACUAUCAGUGAAGAACAUGAGCAAAUAACUUCUGCUUUUGAAAAAGCAAAGUUGGUUCACCUUGAGCAGCACAAAGAGAUGGAGAAACAGAUUGAACUACUUCAGACACAGCUGGAGAAGAAACAUCAACAAUUCACUGAACAAGAGAAAAUAAUAUCUAUUUUGCAACAAGAUGUUAUACAUAAACAGCAUCACAUUGAAUCAUUGGAUGGGAUGCUGAUAGAAAGCAGAGAGGAAAUGGAAAAUCAAAAUGUCAAGAAAGAUCAAGGACUCAAGGUGCUGAAAAGUCAGUUAACAGAAGAAACGAUCAAAGUGAGACAACUUGAGUCAGCCCUAGACGUAUGUAAGGAAGAAGUUGCGCUGUACUUGAGUCAGUCACAAGAAAAUAAGGAGAUAUUUGAAAAUCAACUCAAAAAAAAGUCUGAAGAGGUCCAUUAUUUACAGAAAGAAAUAAAACUAAAAAAUCAGAAUAUUCAGGACACAAGUGAACAAAAUAUUCUCCUACAACAAACUUUGCAUCACCAGCAGCAAAUGUUACAGCAAGAAACUAUUAGAAAUGGGGAGCUGGAAGAUAAUCAAAUUAAACUUGAAAAACAGGUAUCCAAUUUGGAACAAGAGCUUCAUAAGCAGAAAACAUAUGCAGAAGAUGAGUUGAGAAAGGCAGAGGAGAAACUUCGCCUAGCUAUUCAGGAAGCAGAUUUAAACAGACAGAAGGUGGAUGAACUUAAUAGUACAGUCAGACAAAUUAAAAUGGAGAUGGAUCAGUGCAAGAAUGAACUUACUGGUAUGGAAAAAGAAGUAGUGCAAUUAAAACAAGACUGUGAAGACAAAGCAAUGCAGAUAAAUCAGUUGGAUAUUACCUUGGAAGAAGCACGAUCAGAGCUCAAUGACAAGGCCUGUGAGGUGAAUGAUUUAGAAGAUAAGCUGCUUCGAAGUGAGGCUUGCCACAGGGAAGCCUUACAGAAAAUAGUUAAGCUAGAAUCUGCAUUAGAGAAUGCACAUGGAGAAUUGAAAAUCACUUCAGCACAGCUUCAUGAAUUGCAAGAUGCGUUACAGAAAGCACAGUCUUCUCUGGAGGAGAAGCAUGUUGCUAUCAUGGAUCUAACAACAGAGCUCAGGUAUUGCAAGGGAGAAAUUGAAGACAAAAACCAAGAACUCCUUGACAUGGACCACGCAUUGAAAGAAAGGAAUUGGGAACUGAAACAAAGAGCAGCUCAGAUUACACAGUUGGAUAUGACAGUUCGUGAACAUCGGGGAGAAAUGGAACAACAAAUAAUUCAAUUAGAGUGCAAUUUGGAGAAGUCAGAGUUAGAAAUUAAGGAAUGCAAUAAACAGAUUGAGAACUUGGAGAAGAAACUGCAGCAUUCUAAAGAUGAACUUCGUGAAAAAGAGUUUGAAUUGCUCCAGAGAGAUCAAGAAAUAAAUCAGCUGAAAAAAAAAAUUGAAAGAAAACAACAGAGCCUAGAAGCUCUUUGAAAAGACAUUGGGGAUGAUUCUGAAGGAAGGGAUUUCCUCGCUAGCUGCUGUACAGCUGCUGACUCGACCCUUCCUUUCCAGACAAAUUGCCUUGGGCAAGAAUUGUGAAGGAAUGUUGCCCGUUGGACAAGCAGCAACCCAGGAAUGCUGUUGCUGACAUCAUAAUCGUGCCUUCAAAUAGGAAAUUUUAACAUUGUAUUUGUAAAUAAUGGCUGUAGUUAUUUGUACUGAUGCAAAUUACAACCUUUUUUAUUUUUCCAACUGUUUUUGAGAUUAUUGCCUUGAUAUAAUAGCAUCUUAAUAUAUUUUUUGAGAAGUAAAUUUUAUUAACUGUUUUGGGUUGCAAGAAUUAAUUUCAGAUGUCAUUUUUUCCCAAGGAUUUUAAGCUGUAUUUGUAUUACAUCUAACUUCUAAUUAAAAAUGCAAUGAUAUUACCUUAUUAACAACUUUCUUUUUUUUCACACAUGUACAAUGUUGCAGAUGCAAUAUCUUACUAACAUUGACCUGCUUGUAAGAUGUUUUAGGACACUGAUUUGAUCAUAGACACUGGCAAAACCUGCUUGCUUUACUCCAAGCAGUAUCUUUCAGAUGCAAAGUGGUGUGGUAUAGGGCCAUAAAACUUGAUUAUUUUUUUUUUGCUCCCAAACUAAAAUCCAUACAAAUAUUACCAUUGAUUAGAAUGCAUAGUUAUGGUGCCAUUUUAAAAUAUAUUUAUUUCCAGUUUUCCAAAAAUACUACAAUAUUUAGCAAGUAUAAAAGGCAUGUAGCCCCUCUUUCUAACACUUUAAUAUUUACAUGAGGGUCAGAAACUGCAAAUACGGUUAUGAGGCCUAAAUCUGAGUCUAAUUAAUGCAAAAAUUACUUAUGUACAUUACAAUGUGUGAUUUAUACUUCAGAAAAUCAAGUCAAUAAAAGCAGAGGAACGUAAUUGAAUUUAUUGCAAUUUAAAGAUUAGCCCUAAGUUAAGUGUUUUGUGUAUUAAAAGCCUGUCUCAGCCGAAAACCCCAUCUGUUGUUUUCCAGCAGCUCUGCAGGUGCAAAUGUGUUAAAUUCCUUUACUGUAUCUGCAAGCAUGUUCCACAAAUGCAAUCGUUCUAUUUUAAAUGGUUGUACAAAACCAUUUUCUACCAUUGACACGGUCAAGAUACACUCUAAAGUAUUUCUGCAGUUUCAGAUUAUUUUGCUAUUAUGAAAUAUAAGAACCUAUUUCUUAUGGAAAUAAAUAUAUUAUUUGUUUCUAUACUAAAUGAAAAACAUUAGAAUUAGGUUGGCCAGUGUAAAAAUUGUAAAAUAUUAAAAUACUUCAUUUUUUUUUCCUCUCUUUAGGCAGAUCAGUUUGCCUUCAGGCUAGAAAUCUAUGCAUCAAAUUUCAGACAGUUUUAUUUAAAGCAAAGGAACAUGUAAGCCCUCCUUCAAACACAGAUUUCAAGUGGAAAAUAUAACCGAUCUGUAGCUACGGUUGCAUCACACCAGUAGUGGAAUUCCACUAACGUAGUGUUGCAUAAGGCCUUGCUUGCUCCUCCUACAUGCACUAAAUAUAAAUGUGCACAAGCAGCAAAAGCAAUUUGCCUAAUAUCUGAAUCAGCUGAAUAGCAUUUGCUCUAAAAUUGUGUAUCUGGAUACUAACUUCUCUGGUAAAACUGUGGGUCAAACCCAAUAAAUAAGUAGAAUCAUAAUUACAUUUUCUCAUUAACUUUAGAUGCUGUCUUGCUAUUUUGUUGAUUGCCUGAGGAGUUAAUGAUUCCAAUUACACUGUUCAAGUGAAAGGAGGGACUUUUUUUUCCCCCCUAAUAUCAUAAUUUCAGUUAAUAUUUCUGUAGAGUCCUACUUUUCUUGAGUUACUAAGCAAUUUACAUAUGUGCAAAUCCUGGAACACUGAGUUCAUUCUUCUGAACUGCAUUGCAUUAACAUGGGGUUACUGAAUCUUGGAAAACAUUUUUCUAUGUAUAAUGGCAUUGCAAUCAGCUGAACGCUCUUCAAAAGGCUAAUUGCUUAUUAAGGUGAUUCUUUUUCUGUCACUCAGGAUGGGUUAUAAAUUUCACAACAGUCUGAUUUUCUUUCUGCAUGCCAUAUGCCUACAGUUACUGUAUGCCAAACACAAACUGCAGCAAAUUGCCAGUCCAAAUGUCCCCCUGUUUAAUCCCAGGUUUGUGUGCAAAGUUGGUGGAAUAUUUUCUCCAAAACUAAAAUGGAGUCAGGCAUCAUGAUGGUUCUGAUUUUAUUUGUUUUGUUUCUUUUUUUUUUUUUUCCAACUUGUCAAUUGUAGACUAGAAAGUGUUCAAGGAGAUUUCGGUGUCAGCAAGGAUGUAGUGAAGCUGGUCUGUUGGUCGUCUUCCUGGCUGCUCUCGGCCGCUGGCGCACUUGCCUACUUUCUCUGUUCUCCAUUGGGAACGCUGCCAAAAAGAGAUGAAUCUGCCUAAACAACUUGCCUCUUUCCAAAUCCACAUCCCAUUUUUCAAUUUAUGCUUUCCGUAAAGCCUAUUAGGACUCUUAUAAUAGCAAGGCCUUGGGGAAGGAAUCCAUUUGUCAUUCUGUUGCAAAAGAAUGAGGAGGGUGCUGUGAGCAUGGGAAGUCUGAAUGCCGUUAGUGGUGGGGUCCUGUUUUGGGUGCAGUUUACUUUCCAUUGAUGUGAACAGAAAGCUUGACAUGACAGGCUGUUUGUAAAAAAAAAAAAAAAUAUCCAUGUAGCUUACAAAUAUCUCAUUUUAAAGAGUAAUCAAAUUUUGUAGUAAAUAUAGUCCAUGUUGACGAUGCGGAUUAUAAACUCAUGCAGGAGCAUCUGCUCCUGGUUUUGUCUAGUUGGAGAUUAUCCCUUAAUCAUGCAGGGUCCAGGUGUGCAUUUUCAGACUUGUUGACUCAGGAAAGCUGGAGACAGCAUUAAAGGCCAAUGACAUUAUACCAUAGCUACAUUCAGGUUGUUGCGUCUCUGAACAAGAACUGCUUGAACCACCCAGAGAAAAGAAUGGCGAGAAGAAAUGUCCUCAUUACAGGUUGCUCCUCAGGAAUUGGACUGGCCUUAGCUGUAAAAAUGGCAAAAGAUGAACAGAAAAGGUUUAAAGGUAACAAUGUAUCUGUUCGUUAUCUUUUUUUAAAAGCUAUUCUUCAAGGCAGUACUAUUUUUUUUUUUCCUCUGUGUUUAGCAGGUGACUGUAUUCAGUUUGGUGACUUGUAACGUUUCCCUCCUCCUACUGUCAUGGAAAUACAAUACACUGAAAAUAUUCUACUUUCUGUAAGCAGAUGAUAUUUCUGUACUUGUAUUGAAGCCAAACAGCUACAUGAACUGAGUAGUUUACAAAAAAAAUCAAACCAAAACCAAAAAAAAAACAGUGGUAUAAAAACAAAUGGCUGAAAACCUGUGCAGUAUGCAACCUUGGAUAUACAUUCACUGUUGUAGUUAGCUUUGGUUCUGGCUACUAAAAUUUUGGUUGGAGGAAACAUACAUGCCCAUUUGAGGAGUUCUUAAAUUUGCAAUUUUUUCCUUAAAGUAUGUUUCUUUAUUCCAACACUGUGUAGACGUAAGAGGAUGAACAAAAGGGCUGGGAUUUGUCUUUCUGCUGAAAAAUGGGAUAUUUGCUAUGUUUGGAAAUGGAUGGCAAGACAAAUACAGUAAUCUGUGGAAAUUUAAUUUCUCAUACUUACUCUCUUUAUUUUACUGCCAACUGACUGGAUGCAAAUUCAUGGUUUUCUGGGUAAUUAGGCCACAAUAGAGAUAACUGAUUUGGAUUUUGAGAAGUAGCUUGCAAAAACAGAUUUUUGCAAACUGAAGGAAGUAUCUGUCUUCCACCUUUAAUAAAAUGAUGGUUGUUCUGCCAAACAUGAUGGUAAUUAAAAAAAAAAAAAAGGUGAUCUGGAAUCUAAAAUUAGAUUUUAGGUACCUAAAACUAAUUCAGUGGCAUAACUUGAUGCCCAUUAUUUAAAAUUUUGGUGAUAAUACCAUCUUCAUAUGUUGCAUAUUCUUUGUGUGCAUGGAAAUUUAAUUCUCCUUUUGAAUUUCUUGAAGAUUUCAGAACCAGGCUCUGGGAAAUCAGUGGCAAUGUAUGUUGAAAAUAGAUUAUUUCUACUUUAGGUUUUUAUCUGAUAUCGAAGAUACGGAUGUAAGAGCAAUGUUAUUUAGUACUUCUCAGUGAGACAGCCACAAAUAAAGUUUUAUUUCUGA